rnacentral:rRNA from 1 species
UACGUAGGGUGCAAGCGUUAAUCGGAAUUACUGGGCGUAAAGCGUGCGCAGGCGGUUGUGCAAGACCGAUGUGAAAUCCCCGGGCUCAACCUGGGAAUUGCAGUGGAUACUGGCAAGCUAGAGUGCGGUAGAGGAUGGUGGAAUUCCCGGUGUAGCGGUGAAAUGCGUAGAGAUCGGGAGGAACACCCGUGGCGAAGGCGGCCAUCUGGACCGCAGCACUGACGCUGAGGCACGAAAGCGUGGGGAGCAAACAGGG